rnacentral:tRNA from 1 species
UAAAACUUAUAAAAAUUGAUUUCUAAUCAAAUUUAAGCGCUUAAUCCCGUUGAGUUUUAA